rnacentral:rRNA from 1 species
UACGUAGGGUGCGAGCGUUGUCCGGAAUUAUUGGGCGUAAAGGGCUCGUAGGCGGUCUGUCACGUCAGGAGUGAAAACCCGGGGCUCAACUCCGGGCCUGCAGCCGAUACGGGCAGACUAGAGUUCGGCAGGGGAGACUGGAAUUCCUGGUGUAGCGGUGAAAUGCGCAGAUAUCAGGAGGAACACCGGUGGCGAAGGCGGGUCUCUGGGCCGAUACUGACGCUGAGGAGCGAAAGCGUGGGGAGCGAACAGG